UAGAAGACUAACUUUGAGUGAAGAAUUAUAUGAUUGGAUUUUAUAUACAUUUUAAAUGAUUAAAUCUCAAUGUUUGAUAUAUUUGAUGAUUGAUAUAUUGGAUAUAUUCGAUUAUAUUUGUUUUUGACUAAUUGUUGAAUUGUGAUAUUGAUAUAAUGUUUUGUGCAAUUCAUAUUUUUGUGACUAUUUGACUAUACGUAACUAUUUGACUACUUGAUUCUAUUUGAUGUAAAUACAUGAUUAGAUACUCAGGUAUGUAUAUAUAAUAGUUAAAUAAAUGUAUAUACUUGUAUAAUAUUAUGUGUAGCCUUGUGACAUCAUCACGAUGGUANNNNNNNNNNNNNNNNNNNNNNNNNNNNNAAGUUGAAGUUCAUUGAGAAAAGAAAAAUGGCAUUGUGAGACAUUAAAAUAAAGAACGUUAGUGCUGAUUGGUGGUCUAGUUUUAUUUUUGGAGUCCGAAGAGAAAGAUCUCUUUGAUAUGUAUUGAUGACGUCAUUGGAGUACUCUCUAGGUGACAUGUAUUUUUAGUGUUCGACCAGCUUGUGAUCAUUUCUGGGAUAGAGUCUUUUGUAGGAAUUUAUAUUUUAUUAUUUCAUAUUGAAAAAUUGUACGAUACUUAUGUGAAAUGGAAAUG
rnacentral:lncRNA from 1 species